rnacentral:rRNA from 1 species
UACGAGGGGGGCAAGCGUUGUUCGGAAUUAUUGGGUUUAAAGGGUGCGUAGGUGGUCCGUUAAGUUCGUUGUGAAAGCCCUGGGCUCAACCCAGGAACUGCUUCGAAUACUGGCGGACUUGAGGCGAGUAUAGGUCACUGGAACUGACGGUGGAGCGGUGAAAUGCGUAGAUAUCGUCAGGAACGCCAAUGGUGAAGACAGGUGACUGGGCUGGAUCUGACACUGAGGCACGAAAGCGUGGGGAGCGAACGGG